CAAGGAAUAGUUUAAAU
rnacentral:tRNA from 1 species